rnacentral:rRNA from 2 species
UACCCGCUGAACUUAAGCAUAUCAAUAAGCGGAGGAAAAGAAACCAACAGGGAUUGCCCCAGUAACGGCGAGUGAAGCGGCAACAGCUCAAAUUUGAAAUCUGGCCCCAGGCCCGAGUUGUAAUUUGCAGAGGAUGCUUUUGGCGCGGUGCCUUCCGAGUUCCCUGGAACGGGACGCCAUAGAGGGUGAGAGCCCCGUACGGUUGGACACCAAGCCUUUGUAAAGCUCCUUCGACGAGUCGAGUAGUUUGGGAAUGCUGCUCUAAAUGGGAGGUACAUUUCUUCUAAAGCUAAAUAUUGGCCAGAGACCGAUAGCGCACAAGUAGAGUGAUCGAAAGAUGAAAAGCACUUUGAAAAGAGGGUUAAACAGCACGUGAAAUUGUUAAAAGGGAAGCGCUUGUGACCAGACUUGCGUCCGGUGAAUCACCCAGCUCUCGCGGCUGGGGCACUUCGCCGGCACAGGCCAGCAUCAGCUUGCCGUCGGGGACAAAAGCUUCAGGAACGUGGCUCCUCUCGGGGAGUGUUAUAGCCUGUUGCACAAUACCCUUCGGCGGGCUGAGGUACGCGCUCCGCAAGGAUGCUGGCGUAAUGGUCAUCAGCGACCCGUCUUGAAACACGGACCAAGGAGUCAACCUUAUGUGCGAGUGUUUGGGUGUUAAACCCCUACGCGUAAUGAAAGUGAACGCAGGUGAGAGCUUCGGCGCAUCAUCGACCGAUCCUGAUGUUCUCGGAUGGAUUUGAGUAAGAGCAUAUAGGGUUGGACCCGAAAGAAGGUGAACUAUGCGUGUGUAGGGUGAAGCCAGAGGAAACUCUGGUGGAGGCUCGCAGCGGUUCUGACGUGCAAAUCGAUCGUCAAACAUGCGCAUGGGGGCGAAAGACUAAUCGAACCUUCUAGUAGCUGGUUUCCGCCGAAGUUUCCCUCAGGAA